AUAUGGCUUCAGUUUUUCAUCACUUCCUGUUAGUUCUGGUCUUUCUGGAUACACACGCAGCUCAGCCUUUCUGUCUGCCAGGAUGCACUUGUUCAGAGGAGAGUUUUGGCAGGACUCUGCAGUGCAUAUCUGUCUCCUUGGGAAAGAUCCCUGGGAACCUUUCUGAAGAGUUCAAGCAAGUGAGAAUUGAAAACUCACCCUUAUUUGAGAUGCCCCAAGGGUCUUUCAUCAACAUGAGCACCUUGGAAUACCUUUGGCUCAACUUUAACAAUAUUAGUGUGAUCCACCUGGGAGCCCUGGAGCAUCUGCCAGAACUGAGGGAGCUGAGACUCGAAGGGAAUAGGCUCUGCUCAGUACCAUGGACAGCGUUCCGUGCCACCCCUCUCCUGAGGGUCUUGGAUCUCAAACGCAAUAAGAUUGAUGCACUCCCUGAGCUGGCUCUUCAAUUCUUGGUCAGCCUGACCUACCUUGACCUAUCCUCCAAUAGGCUUACAGUUGUAUCCAGAAGUGUCUUCCUGAAUUGGCCAGCCUACCUGAAACGCCGGCAACCUGACUGUGGGGCCGGGAUUCUCUCCAGCCUGGUGGUGGCGCUUCAUGACAACCCCUGGGUAUGUGACUGUCGCCUAAGGGGGCUUGUCCAGUUUGUCAAGUCCAUUACCCUCCCAGUCAUCCUGGUGAAUUCCUACCUGAUAUGCCGGGGCCCUCUCUCCAAGGCAGGGCAGCUUUUUCAUGAAACUGAGCUUAGUACUUGCAUGAAGCCACAGAUCUCAACCCCCAGUGCCAAUGUCACCAUCCGGGUGGGACAGAAUGUAACCCUGCGAUGCUUGGCACAGGCCAGCCCCUCACCAUCCAUUGCAUGGACUUAUCCCCUGAGUAUGUGGAGAGAAUUUGAUGUGUUGACAUCUUCUACUGGAGAAGACACUGCUCUGUCGGAGCUGGCCAUACCUGCUGCCCACCUGGUAGACAGUGGUAAUUACACCUGCAUGGCCUCCAACUCCAUUGGCAAGAGCACCCUUGUAAUCUCUCUCCAUGUCCAGCCUGCCCAGGCCCUACAUGCACCUGAUUCUCUUUCCAUCCCCUCAGAGGGCAAUGCCUACAUUGACCUGCGGGUUGUCAAACAGACAGUGCAUGGGAUUUUGCUGGAGUGGCUUGCAGUGGCUGACACCUCUGAGGAGGAGUGGUUCACCCUCCACAUUGCAUCAGAUGAAGCCUUCAGGAAGGAGGUGGUUCACAUCGGCCCCGGAAUCAAUACUUAUGCUGUGGACAACCUCCUUCCUGGCACAAAAUAUAAAGCCUGCCUCAGCCUAGAGGACCAGCCUCCACACCAGGGCCAGUGUGUAGUUUUUGUAACAGGCAGAGAUGGUGGUGGGCUAGAGGCACGUGAGCACCUCCUGCAUGUCACAGUGGUCCUGUGUGUGGUACUGCUUGCAGUGCCUGUGGGCGCCUAUGCCUGGGCAGCCCAGGGCCCCUGCAGCUGCAGCAAGUGGGUCCUGUGCUACUGUCUUCAUUGCAGGAAAGCCCCCAGCUGCCCCCCUGCAGCCCCGCAGUGCAGGGAUGGCUCCUUUAGAGAACAUCCAGCUGUCUGUGAUGAUGGUGAAGGGCACAUAGACACUGAGGGGGACAAGGAGAAAGAAGGAAUGGAAGAAAACAGCUGAACAACCCAGGCCAUGGGGUGGAAACGGCUUGGGCUUCAAGCCUCUGAAACUAACCCUCUGCAGCAGCUCCAUCCAUUUAUCCAACAAGUAUAUAUUGAGCACCCACUGUGUUCCAAGCACUGAACUUGACACAGGGGGUUCAAGAGUAAAAAGGGAAACACAGUCUUUAUCUUCAUGAUAAAGGGGACAUAGUCAUUAUCUUCAUAAAGUUAAAGUCAUUGAAGAUUUGUCCUAUCAAAUUAAUCAUUUUAUUAUACAUGGUGAUUAGAAACCGCUAAAUAUUACUCUUUGCAUAUACAUAGCCUUAUAACAUUUGCAUGUUUACACGUAACAUCGACGUAUAACAUUUUACAUAUAUUAUCCUGUAAAGGAAGGUAGAUGUCUACCCACUUUUUAUAGAUGAAGAAACUGCAGCCUGGACAGUUCAAUGAUAUGCCCAGAGUCUGCAUCUGGCAGGAGGCAGAAGCCCCACUCAAAAGAGGUUCCAAUUCCGUUGUUUCCUUGAAUGUCUGUUUUGCAGUAUUCUUAUGUCUUUCAUUGUUUAUAAAGUGUGACCCUCUCUCUUCAUGACAAACUCCCAAUGAGAUCACAUAAAUGUUCAAAAGAGCUGCCCAUCAGGGUGAUGAGAGCUGUUGGGUAAUGGGAGUCUCUUUUUGUGGGUAUCUGUUCCCCUGUGAGCAGCCCUUGGUGCUGCUGGGCAGGCUGGUGCCAUCAGCACCAAGGAAGUGCAGGGGAUUGGCUGUAGCCCUGGGUCUGGUAGAAAGCAGACUCUGCAGGGCCAUACCCAGAAAGAAGAGCACACAUAUGUCCACUGCUUUCCCCUAGUGAAUGUGUCAAGCCCUCCUAUGAAGUCCAUAAGACGAGGUCGUUUCCUCUUAGCUGGACCUAUGUGGAAUGGAGGGGCCCCAAGAACCCCAGCAUCACCUCUGAACAGCCCUUCUAGGGGAGACCAUUCCCAGGAUUUAAUCCACAUCUGUCUCCCUGCAGUUUCCCUCACUGGCCACAUGGAAGCCUUUCGAAGAGUGUAAACAUGAACUAGCCUCGUUGUGACAUCACACGUUUCCUCCUUCCCAUGACUUUUACCCAUUCCUCAUCAUCCUUUUAGGCCUCUCUUAAGUGUGUACAUUACGUCUUCCACAGAGCCUUCCUUGACUUCACACCUCUGGUGAAAAGGAGAGUAUGCACAGUGUGUCCCUCGGUUGUGAGACAUUUACAGGCAAAGACUGACCUUCCUCACUGUGGCCACUGCACUCGUCUAAUACCUGGAUUGUGUUCAUAAUCAAUGUUAGUUACAAUAAAUUUUUAAAAAUUGAAGACGGCUCUCAUUUUCAGACUAAUUGUCCACUCAUUUCUUCAGGUUCUACUCAUUUGUGUUCUUCUGGGCACUAGAAAAAAAAACUCUAAAUUAAAAAAAAAUUCA